UGGGGAAUUUUGGACAAUGGGCGCAAGCCUGAUCCAGCCAUGCCGCGUGCAGGAUGAAGGCCUUCGGGUUGUAAACUGCUUUUGUACGGAACGAAAAGGUGCCUUCUAAUAAAGGGCGCUCAUGACGGUACCGUAAGAAUAAGCACCGGCUAACUACGUGCCAGCAGCCGCGGUAAUACGUAGGGUGCGAGCGUUAAUCGGAAUUACUGGGCGUAAAGCGUGCGCAGGCGGGUUUGUAAGACAGAGGUGAAAUCCCCGGGCUCAACCUGGGAACUGCCUUUGUGACUGCAAGGCUGGAGUGCGGGAGAGGGGGAUGGAAUUCCGCGUGUAGCAGUGAAAUGCGUAGAUAUGCGGAGGAACACCGAUGGCGAAGGCAAUCCCCUGGGCCCGCACUGACGCGCAUGCACGAAAGCGUGGGGAGCAAACA
rnacentral:rRNA from 1 species